GGGGGAGGGGGGGGUGCUAUACAUGCAAGUCGAGCGGACCGACGGGAGCUUGCUCCCUUAGGUCAGCGGCGGACGGGUGAGUAACACGUGGGUAACCUGCCUGUAAGACUGGGAUAACUCCGGGAAACCGGGGCUAAUACCGGAUGCUUGAUUGAACCGCAUGGUUCAAUCAUAAAAGGUGGCUUUUAGCUACCACUUGCAGAUGGACCCGCGGCGCAAUAGCUAGUUGGUGAGGUAACCGGCUCACCAAAGCGACGAUGCGUAGCCGACCUGAGAGGGUGAUCGGCCACACUGGGACUGAGACACGGCCCAGACUCCUACGGGAGGCAGCAGUAGGGAAUCUUCCGCAAUGGACGAAAGUCUGACGGAGCAACGCCGCGUGAGUGAUGAAGGUUUUCGGAUCGCUAAAACUCUGUUGUUAAGGGAAGAACAAGUACCGUUCGAAUAGGGCGGUACCUUGACGGUACCUAACCACGAAAGCCACGGCUAACUACGUGCCAGCAGCCGCGGUAAUACGUAGGUGGCAAGCGUUGUCCGGAAUUAUUGGGCGUAAAGCGCGCGCAGGCGGUUUCUUAAGUCUGAUGUGAAAGCCCCCGGCUCAACCGGGGAGGGUCAUUGGAAACUGGGGAACUUGAGUGCAGAAAAAGAGAGUGGAAUUCCACGUGUAGCGGUGAAAUGCGUAGAGAUGUGGAGGAACACCAGUGGCGAAGGCGACUCUCUGGUCUGUAACUGACGCUGAAGCGCGAAAGCGUGGGGAGACGAACAGGAUUAGAUACCCUGGUAGUCCACGCCGUAAACGAUGAGUGCUAAGUGUUAGAGGGUUUCCGCCCUUUACUGCUGCAGCAAACGCAUUAAGCACUCCGCCUGGGGAGUACGGUCGCAAGACUGAAACUCAAAGGAAUUGACGGGGGCCCGCACAAGCGGUGGAUCAUGUGGUUUAAUUCGAAGCAACGCGAAAAACCUUACCAGGUCUUGACAUCCUCUGACAACCCUAAAGAUAGGGCUUCCCCUUCGGGGGCAGAGUGACAGGUGGUGCAUGGUUGUCGUCAGCUCGUGUCUUGAAAUGUUGGGUUAAGUCCCGCAACGAGCGCACCCUUUGAUCUUAGUUGCCAGCAUUCAGUUGGGCCCUCUAAGGUGACUGCCGGUGACAAACCGGAGGAAAGGGGGGGAUGACGUCAAAUCCCCCUUGCCCCUUUUAACCGGGGCUCCCCCCGGGCCCAAGGGGGAAAAAAGGGCCCGAACCCCCGGUUACCCCCCCCAAUUUUUUCUUUUUGAACCCCCCCCCCCCCCCGGGAAAGGGGAACCCUAAACGGGAAACC
rnacentral:rRNA from 1 species